AAACGGCGUCCUUUUUGACCCAAUAUAAAUAGCUAAAAUCAGAUAAAAAAAAAAAGCAUUUUCACUUUCAUUUUUCUCAGAAACAGAGAGGGAUCCUCUCAAACUCUCUCAACACCCCAUCCGGUCUAUGGGUUCCCGGCCAAAGGCCACCGUCGGCCCCGUCUCGCCGGCCACCGUACGCUGUGGCCGGAAAAUCAUAAAAAUGCAAGUGGUGAUUGGACGGUGGCAGGUGCGGCGCGGAGUGGCGGUGGCAGAGACCAAAGGUCAAAGAGGGCGGCGCCUAGGGUUUCAGAGACCUGAAACCCUAGGCAGAUAUUUUUUGGGAAGGAUGGGCUAGGGUAUUGGGCUGGUUUUGUAAUUGGGCUUGUGGGUUAUUGGGUAGGUUAGUUGGGCUUGGUUUUGCUGGGUUAGGUCUGUUAGGGGCUAAAUUUGGGUUGUUGGGCUAUUCGGGUUUUGUAUUGUAAUUGGGCCCGGGUUUUAAAAAUUGGGCUUGUACAUGGUGUAUAUAACUAUAAAUGAAAUAUCAACAGGAUUUGAAUAAAAAUAUUAUAUUUGAAA